rnacentral:lncRNA from 1 species
ACCAAAUUUAAAAACCUGGCCAGACCAAAAACAACCACCCAAUUAGGUUUUCUCAGCUAGCAGCAGCAAGCAUGACAAUAGUCAAACAUCAACAACCCAAUUAGCCACUCAAAGCAAAGCCCAUACAUAGCAGCAGCACCAGUAGCAGCAGCAGAAAGCAGUAGCAGUUAAAUAGUAGCAACGUAGCAGCAUCAAUUGCAUUAACUAAGCUCCAGCAGCCAAACCCACUAAGCAGUCCAGUAGUAGAGGCACUCAAACCAGGAAAUCAGACCAUUGCAGCAGAAGGAGCCCAAUUUUAUAGCCAACAGCUGUAGCAACAACAUCCCUUCGCCCCAACAGCUCAAGACCAGCAGCCCAAAUGAGAACAAAGGCAGUCUGCAUCUCAAAUCAAUAAUUUUAAAGUAUAUAUUUUGUAGUUGUUUAAAGAAAGUUCAUCCCACUCAAUAUGAAAAUCUUUGGGCUGAUCCUCCAUUCUAAAGUCGUAAAAUUAUUUUCUUACCUCCAACGCAUUGUACACCACAUAAAGUUUGAUUGUCCCUUAACUACGAAUUAUGUGAUAUAUUAGGCUCCUCUUAGUUUAACAAAAUAAAAAUCAAAAGAAGGAAGUUAGCAUACAACGAAACCUAAUUCAAAUGUGGCACAUCAUAUUUGUUCUCUACUUAACAGCCAUAGAAACCAGUAGAAAGAAAAUCAGUUUUAGCAACAAAAUAAAAAAGAAAAACAAUAGUAAAGAGCAUAAAUUCUUACAAAACAUGUCUGCUGAAAAAGAAUGACCCCACAAACAAGUGCAAAAAAACAACCAAAAUCAGAAAAGUCUGCAGCUGAAGGCCUCUUGAACUGCCCCACAAGCAUGAUCAGGUUACUUUAAAUAACAAAAUUAUACAAACUCAACAACACUCUAAGUUUCAUAGCACGAACAUACCUGUGGUUUUACCUGCGCUAAGUUUCAUAGCACGAACAUCA